GGGAGCUUGCUCCCUGAUGUUAGCGGCGGACGGGUGAGUAACACGUGGGUAACCUGCCUGUAAGACUGGGAUAACUCCGGGAAACCGGGGCUAAUACCGGAUGGUUGUUUGAACCGCAUGGUUCAGACAUAAAGGUGGCUUCGGCUACCACUUACAGAUGGACCCGCGGCGCAUUAGCUAGUUGGUGAGGUAACGGCUCACCAAGGCGACGAUGCGUAGCCAACCUGAGAGGGUGAUCGGCCACACUGGGACUGAGACACGGCCCACACACCUACGGGAGGCAGCAGUAGGGAAUCUUCCGCAAUGGACGAAAGUCUGACGGAGCAUCGCCACGUGAGUGAUGAAGGUUUUCGGAUCGUAAGCUCUGUUGUUAGGGAAGAACAAGUGCCGUUCAAUAGGGCGGCCCUUGACGGUCCUAACCGAAGCCCGGCUAACUACGUGCCACAGCCCGGUAUACGUAGUGCAGCGUUGUCCGGAAUUAUUGGGCGUAGGGGCUCGCAGCGUUUCUUAAGUCUGAUGUGAAAGCCCCCGGCUCACCGGGGAGGGUCAUUGGACACUGGGGAACUUGAGUGCAGAAAGGAGAGUGGAAUUCCACGUGUAGCGGUGAAUGCGUAAGAUGUGAGGAACACCAUGCGAAGCGACUCUCUGUCUGUACUGACGCUGAGAGCGAAGCUGGCGGCGCGACAGGAUAAUCCGCGUUUUUUCA
rnacentral:rRNA from 1 species